rnacentral:lncRNA from 1 species
AUAUGUAACAAACCUGCACAUUGUGCACAUGUACCCUAAAACUUAAAGUAUAAUUAAAAAAAAAAGAAAUCUACAUUGGGGCUGAUAAUUGUAAAGGCUUUUAACAUGAGGCAGAAAUUUAGUGAUUGAAGAUUUGCAGCUUUGCUCUGGUUAUCUGCUCUGUCACCUUUAAACCUUCAUUUCACUUGUAAAACAGAACACUAACAUUUUUUACUUCUUGCGUGACUGUCAUAUCAUGGGUGCAUUAACAGCUCUGAAACGUUUUUGUUUCUGAGAGGAAAGAUGGUGUGUAAAUAAACAUUGGAAUUAUGACUUUUUCUAUGUAGACUUUCCUGUGAAGCUUAAAAUAAGGAAAGGAAUAUUAGGGAUCUUUCUUUCUAGUGAUAAAUAUAAACAAAGCCAUUCUGUCAUCUCCCUUCUGCAGGAUGACACCAGUGGAAUCUUUCAACUCUCAAGGCUGAUAUUGAUGUAGUCCUCCACUAAAUGAAUUAUUUGGUACUAGAUGGUUACAGUUUUUGCAGUAAUUUAUUAGGAAUAAAAACCACCUGCUAAUUCACUUCAAUCUUUUAUGUCUUGGGCAUUUGAUGUGCCUAUACCUUUGCUUACCCCUUAAGUUCACAGUGUUCAUGAAGGUGGUGCAGUGUUUUCGUUUUUCCUGUCCUCACUUUCUUUACAGUAGCAGUCAUCUGCUCUUCAUAGAAACUCAGUUCUGACACACAGCAUGGACAGAGGAAACUGCAGUUUACUUAACGUAAACCUAGGUCUGCAGUUUCCUCUUCUUGUUAUAACAAUAAUGACCAAACCCUGAAGUUACAUACAGAUUUCCUUUCUUUUAUGAUUUUAAAAUGCUUCAUCGACUUCAUCCACCAUUCCUGGGCCAAAGCUAGUUAAGUCGACAGUGAUAAAAUUUGAGUUAGAAUCCAAGUUGCCUAUUGAGUCAUUCUUUUGACUAACCUUCAUUACUUUCCAGUUCUAGAAUGCCACAUAGAUGCCAAAGAGAGAGCUAAUUUGUAGCACUACUGCACAGGCAAAGACAUAAAUUUGAUAGAAUAAAGCCUUUGUUGCUGGUACAUCUUGUUACAAAUUGAAGGGGAUUACAGCUUUCUCAGUAGGCAUUUCUAAUAUUUUCUUAACUGCUAAAUGCUGUGAUUAUAAAUGCAUGCCAUUAGAGAAAUGCUUCACUCUAUGCUUUUGCCAAGGUGUUUCUGAAAUUUAAGAAGUUAAAUGUAUAAUUAUCGCAAGCUUCUCAGGAAGCACUCCAUUUUUCUAUUUUCUAUUAACUAGCUGUAGGCACAAUGAGCAAGCACUCAUUCCUAUGUGUUGAAAAUUAUUAUGGGAGGACUUUCAGAAGGGGAAAGAAAUGGGCUGUGUCUUCUAAACAUUAUGAUAGUAGAGUUAACAUUGAGUUGUUGGUUCUUUAAAGAAAUUAUCUCUGAUGUAGGCAUUGUAUUUCCUAGCCUUAAUUCUGUGACUGUGCCAACAGAGCAAGGGACGUGUGUUAUCAGAUGGGGACCUUUGAGCUUGACCCUGAAGAAUGACUAAUGGUCAUAGAAGAAGGCAGGGGACAGCAUUUCAGGCAGAGGGACCCAUGGGAAGAUACAUGACUGCAGUCCUGGUGAUUCCUAGGGAAUGGAGAGGGGUGGGCUGGGAGUCAGCCUAAAAUUCCAUUAUGAAAGACUGGUAAGCUAAAAAAGUCUACCAGCUACCCUAAGGAGCUUAAACUUGCCUUUUGGUCAAAGGAAAGCCAUCAAAGAAGGGAAGUGGCAUAAUCAGAUGUGGCCUUUGUAAGAUCUCUCUGGCAUUGCUUUAGAGGAAGAAUUGAGUGAAGAAGAGGGAAAUGUUGGAAAGAACCUUUAGAAAGCUACCAUAGUGAGUCAAGUGAGAGGUGCCAGCCUGAACUGGGGCAAUGACCAUAAGAACUGAGGAGGGAGUAAAUGUGGAAAGUCAUUUACACAGUAAAAUUGACAGAAUUCAGUGACUAGCAAUGGGGGAUGUGCAUGCUAUUUUAUAUUAAGCAAUUUGUAAGGAUUCUUUGGUAUAGUGGCAGACAUAAGAAUGUUGUGUUUCUUACCACCUUUGCCAAAAAGCUAUGUAAGCCAUUUCCCUUGCUUUGUUUGCCUGCAGUUUGCUUCAGGUAGCUGAGAUGUUAGUAUUUAUCUCACUGACAGAUUGUUAGGUGGGGUUCUGGCAAACACUAUGGGGACUACACAAACUUUUCUUUCCAGAACCCUUUGAAAAUACCUUAAACAGAGAGAAUCUCUGGUAGCUCCCAAAUAAACCGACAUAUUUGGCCAGAGCUUUGGCAUUUGCUGCAAUAUGUGUGCCUUCCUCAGAAUUAACUGGGAUUUUAGGGUGGCUCUCCUGAUCUCUGUAAUCUGAGUUGGUGUUACUAUACUUCUAUUCUAGAAUACUCUCUGUCAUCCAUUCAUUUGCUAACUUUUGUUCAAGCCGAUGUCAUAGAGGAGCCAGGCUAACUAUGGUGGCUCCCAACUAUGUGGCUCCUGCCCUCAAGAAGUAUAGUCUAGUUGUGGAGGAAAGAUAUCAACACAACUAACUGAGAUACAAGGAAGCAGUGAAGAGAAUCCCAAGAGAGACACAUAGGAGUUUGAAGAAGAAUUUACACCUGAGAAAGCAGGAUUCUUUCAUAGGGCAGAAGUAGUUUGACCUGGACCUUAAAUUAGGUUUUGGGUUGGAUUUAAAGAAUCCACAUUGAAGAAGAGUAUUCCUAGUGGGAAGAAUAGCAUUAGAAAAUGCACAGAGAUACCAAAAUAUUAGAUGUUUUUUGGAACUCUGAAACGAUUUCAUGUUUCCAGAAUACCAAGAAUUGGGGGUGUGGGAGGGGAGGCAGGAGAAGGAAGAUUUCAUGAGAAAUGAGAUUGGGACCAGACUGUGGAGGAUUUUGAGGGCUGAGAAGUUUUACUUCAUUCUAGAAAUAAUGAGGAACGACUCAGCAUUUGUUUGCCUGCAGUUUGCUUCAGUGACUGAAUAGUGAGGGAGCUGAAGAGUGAUUAAGCAGACUUGGGGCCAGAGUGAAUUCAAGUCUGAUUGCCUCUGGAGGGUGUCUUCCUUCAGCCUUCAUCACUGGAGUGAGGACUGAUAGGUGGCCCAGAAGCCAAGGUAACCGGAACCACAGCAGUCCUUCGAAAGAGGGCAUGCACUCAGAGGGCAGCUCUGGAGGACAGAGACAGAAAGAAUACGUAGGGAGGGAUGGGGGUUGGGGGGCGGGAAUGCAGAAAAAGAAAAGGUGCUUGCCCAGUCGUAACUUAGAUUUGAAAAGCUUAUAAACUUUUCAUAUUUUAUUUUCAGUAAAAUAGUUACAUCAAAGUAUAUGACUAGAUGGAUGUGGGUCCUAUUUCCAGGAAUAUAGCUGCACUAUUCACCAGAAAACUGAACCUGUAUUUUCCCGAAAUGUAGUUUAUGCUUUGUAGUGUAUUAAAUUGUAGAUUAGAAAUACCAACAAUAGCUCCUAACCUGACUUCCUGACUUCCAACUGUAGAAAUGAGCAGUAUCUGUAAAAUGUAUGUGAAAACUUGGUUCAGCAAUACUUUCCCUAGGGAUCCUGUCUGUAUCCCUCCCUUGCCCCACCCCAUUUUCUUCUGUUCCUUUGUUAAGUCUGGGGACCCACCCUACUUCCUUCCCCUUUUCUAAUUCACUCAUGAAAUAUGGAUGGGUGGGAAGGGGAUUUUGCACACUCUGAAACUGCAUCUUGGCACAGUCUGCUGCCAGGGUAGGGUCUCUAUCACUCAGCCUCAACCGGAAUUUCCUUUUCCCUGUUUCCUGCAGCCUCAUCCUGGAAUUCUGCCUACGUCAAAGGUUCCUUGUUUAAGGAUUACGAGGGGAGAAGUGGUUUGGAGUAUUCUGGCUACUGUCACACUUAUUUACAUAUUAAAAGUUGGUCUCUACCUUU